UAACUUGAAAUUAUUAGAAAAGAGCCGAAAUUUGAAAAAAAUGCAUUCUUUUAACAAGAGUUUUGUCAGAAAAAUAAAUGUACGGAAGCGGAUAAGGGCCAUUUUACAGAUGAAACAACUUUAUAAUUUAUUGAAUCAAGUGCCACAUGGAUCGAAUUUACUUGAUUUCCUGCAUGUUUUCAACAAGGUAUUUGUAUUAAUAAUAUUUUUGUGAGUUUGUACUGACUGAUUUGAUUUAAACUUACUGUUUUUUUCUCAUUUAAGAUGACAACUUGAGCCGGUUGUGUCUCGUCUGAGUGUCUGAUGCCCAUUAACUGUAUCUACUAAUGACUGGUUAGCGCUUGCAAAUGAAUGUAAGUUUACGUCAAAUAGAAUGUACAAUUUAAAACUGUGAAAUUCUUUGAAUUUCCGUAUACUUAAUUACCUUUAAGAAAAAAAGUAAAUAUAAUUUUUCUCUAAGCAGACUGUAUAAGACUGAAUGAAAGUUUUUAAAGGAAGUUUUGGAUAAAACUUUAAUUGUGAUAAAUUGCACCAUAUUACUCAAUAAUAAGAUAUGGAACGACAAUAUGCAUUUUAUUUUACAGUUAGACACGUUGAUCCUGUAUGACAGAUAUGUUGUAGAGGGAAGAUUGCGGUACUGCUUAUAACGAAAUUGUUUGAACAUGUCCAUUGAAAAGAUAGGCGGUGCACAUUAUAUUAAAUCUAGUUAUGCAUGCUGACUCUGUGUGACUGACAUGCUGAAGUCGGAAAAUGAGACGAGUGUGUUGGAGUACAUUGUUUACCAUAUGUCCCUCUGAACGAUUCGCACAAUGCUAUAAAGUUAACUAGGUAAUAACACAAUGUUUCAGAAAUGUAGUUUUUUUUCUGGAGAAAUAACCUAUGGUUGAACUAUAAAAUAUGUUUAUCUGGCACUAAGAAUUUAUAUGAAGCUGUCCUUGUUCUGUCCGAUGUUGGAACACGAGUGAAGUUUUCUAAGGACACACCAUUCAAAUCAAACAAAGAGGCAUUUCUAAGAAAUACAGAAAACAAGCAAAAUUUUCUAUUGCUCCUCGGUGGUUUUCUGUCUGAAAAUGGCAUAAAAGUAAUACAUGCAUCAGGAGAUGCUGAUUGUCUCAUAGUACAAACGGCAAUAACUUCUGCUGUCAAUCAUGACACUUUCGUCAUUGGGGAGGACACAGAUUUGUUGGUGCUACUUUGCUAUCAUGUCGGUAAAGUUUGUAAAAAGGUGUACUUUAGAUCAGAGACAGAAGAAAAACAACUAAAGUAUGGGAUAUACACAAAACACAAGACGUACUUGGAAUGGAAUUGUGUAGUAUAUUGCCAUUCAUACAUGCACUAACAGGAUGCGACACAACAUCCAGAAUAGGGAAAGGAACCGUUAUGAAAGCAUUCAGUUCUAAUGCAUACUUAUGAGAAACCGCAGUAAACUUCAUGAAAGCGCUGACAAAUGAUCAGAUAUCUGAAACGGGUGAACAAGCUUUGAUUUGCCUUUUUGGAGGUUUGCCAGAAGACAACCUAAACAUUUUACGCUUUAAAACGUUUGCAACCAAGGUAAUGAGAAGUACAUCAUGUGUACAAGUCUACACCCUGCCACCUACAACAGCUGCAGCAGUAUACCAUAGCUACCGAGUACACAUACAAACACAGACUUGGAUUGGAAAUUACACACUAAACCCACUAGACUGGGGUUGGGAGAUGAUCAAUAGCAAGUUGCUACCAAUAAAAACAGACCUACCACCAGCACCGGAAUCAUUGCUUCAGAUUAUUCGCUGUAACUGCAAAACGAAUUGUGGUUCCAGGCGAUGCAGUUGCAGGAAACAUGGACUGCAGUUUUCAGCUUGUUGUGAUGACUGUAGAGGUACAAACUGCACUAACUAUCCUACAACAGCUGACAUUGAUAUAGAACACUAUGAAUAGGCUUUCCUGUUUUUGAGAAGUAAAAAUCAAACGAGGGAAUCAGUAUGGAAUAUUUAUUUAAAAUUUAUCAUAUAGUAUGCUGAAAAUAUUUUUUUCUUCAUCUUCUAAAUAACAUAUAUCCACAAUAUUUGAUGUGUUGUGCACUUUGUAUUUAAUUAAAAUUAUUGCUGAUGGAAUGCAGCUAUGAUUAAAUAAAUAUUGUCAUGAUUGUUAAUGGUACGUCAGCAUUAUUUACCCUUUAUAUGAGAAAAUAUAACAUUGUUUCAUAAGUAUUUUAAGUGGGUGGGGUACAAUAUAGACCCCUUGAUCAAAUUAAGUUGUUUAACAGUAAAGGAAUAGCAGUAUCAGCUUAAUUUGAACAAUGCUGCAGAUAUUGUUUCACGUUUGUUAGAAUUGAUGUGCUAAUGUUUUGUAAUGUUAAAUCUGAGAUUAUUUUCAUAAAUGUAUUUGUACUUUAUUUAUGUUUAAACAGUAGGCUUAAAUGAAUUUAAAUCUACAUGUAGUCAAUACUUUCACUUUAGCAAUUCCUUUAAACGUUUAUAGACGUAGUAUAUAUCAUCUUGGCACACUGUGAUAAUGUUCAUAUCCAUUGUACUGUGACUGAUAAGUAUUACAUCUUUUGAAUGAAUGUAAAUCUGUUUUAGACAAGAUAAAACAUUAUUUUACAUGAAAAACUCACUACUUUGUACAAAACUAUCUGCAUAACUGUGUAUACCAGAAAUAAUGAAAUACAUUUCAUUAAACUGUUUUCCAGUCUUUCAAAAUGAUUCUUAUUUUAAAUAAUUAUAGAUGUCUAAAUAAUAAAAAAGAAAUUGAUAUUCUGAGUUUUAUAUCUGUACUGUGCAUUAUAGCAAAGUGGGUGGGGUAAUUUAACCCCUGUUUAAAAAGAAAAACAAUGUAUAUAUUAUAAUAAAUUAAAGUAAUCAAAUUUGGAAAUGUUGUUUAAAGCUAAUCUGAGUGGCCAUUUGCCCUUGAAUAUGAAAAAAUGACGUAAACAGGGCUAACAAUUGUAGAUUUAGUAAAAUUCAGUAUAGCACAGCAUUUUAUGUUUGAAUUUUGGUAUGUGUGUUCGGGGACCAUUUUACAAGAUUUGGGCACUUGCCAUGACAUGCAACUUUUAGUUGGUGAAAAAAGAGAUAUUUCCCAUGUCAAAACUACUUGAACCAUUUCUUUUUGCGUGUACUUCAAGGUUAGGCCCUUUUUAUGGCUAGCCUGAUUAGCCUAAUCUUGAAGUAGGAAACAACCAGUUGCAAACUCUUUUUGGCAAUUUGUUUGGGUUGGCGCAACGUUGUUUUUAAAUUAGUUGUUAUGAAAAAUAAUUUUGCAGAAUAUAAAAGAAAAACUGUCUUUAUAAAGAAAGAGUUCGAGAUAUUUAUUUACCUGAAAGAGGCAAAUGCGUACAAACGAGUACGAUUAAAAUGUCUAUCUAAUUUUGACUUUUUGUCUAUUUAUUACGCGCUUUUCAUAACUGACUGAACUUACAUUGAUACAAGAACGUUGGGCGUAAGGGUGUUGCACAUUUCAUUACCUCUCAUGAACAGACUCAAUCAAACCGAUUCUGGUAUAUUACUCGUAUAUUGCUUGGUUAUGUUCUACCACUUAAUUACUGAUCCUUACUUGGUAAACUGUUGACUCACCAAUAAUGUAUUUUCUUACUCAGUAGAACUACAAAAACCCUUCUAAGUCCAAUAAAAUCUGUAUUAUUAGAAAGGCAUUCAUUUUUUUUGUAUUUGGUUGUAUUGCUAUCGUUCAUUUAAGCGUGGAAUGACACGCAUUUUGCAAAAGAACUACUUUCAUCAAAGCGAUAUCUUUGGUGAAAAUGAGCUCGGAUUUUUAAUUUACAACUAACCUUCAAAUAAAACAAAAAGAUGACACGAAUAACACCCGAAACCCACAUGAAAAAUGUAACAACUCCAUGAUAAAACGCACCAGCAGAAUGAUACUGAAAAGUCAAAAGAUAUCUAUACACAGUAAAUUUAUACUUGUAUUAUAACACAAUGUAAACUGAUGCAAAAUGAUUGAUCUUUCAGACAUAAACAAAAACAAAUGUACUAAAUCUAAAAAUCUUCAUUAUUCAAAACUGUCUCAAUUUUCAUUAACAUAAUACAGAAAGGUUGGCAAAGGUUUUUGCUUCCACGUUAUGUUCUUAUUCAUUUAAAUGAUUUAAGACAAGUGGAAUUAUUUAUGUAUCAAUCACAAAAUAUUCUACAAAUUUUUCCAUUAAUUUUCUUUCAAAAAUCAUUCAUCCCAACUCGGAUAAAGAUUGAUUUUAUAUAUGUGUUUUAUUUUAGUGGUAUAUAAUGUUUGGAAAGAUCCUGUGUAGUGCAAAGUCAACUGCCUGUAAAUAGCACUUAUCCUUCCUAAGUUCACUGGAUCAUUGUCAUGUAUCAUAAAUGAAUAUUAUUAUUAAUAUUUAUUAAUAUUAUUAUAUAAAGUUAUCUAAACCAAGCGGUGAACGUCCUCCCGGAUGUCAUCGUGUAGUGCUGCAUAUCAUCGUUUGGCAUGCCGUAUAGAAUUACAAAACCAUCGUCUUGCAAACUAAAACAUUUGCACGUUAUAUCAAAAUGUACACGAUCGUCUUGCACACUGUACUACUGGACCUCAACGCUUCGCGCUAUGUCGAACGUCUCACCAUGGUCUUUUAAACUAGAUUACUACACGUAAUUACCCUGGAUACUUUAGUGCUCACAUCAUUGUCUUGUAUGCUAUAUAUUAUGUAUCAUCUCCCUCCAUACUACAAAGCACCAUGCAUACUACAGUACUACAUAUUAUCAUACUGCAUACCAAGUUGUAGAACUCAUGCUGCAUAUUAUAAUAUUAUACAUCAUCUUCAUCAUCAUCCUGCGUGUCAUAUAAAUUCACAUAAUCAUUCUGCAUACCAUAGAACAACACAUCAUCAUUCUGCAUACCAUAGUACAAAACAUUAUUAUUUUGCAUACCACAGUACUACACGCCAUCAUGCUGUCUACCAUAGAACUACACAUCGUCAUUCUGCAUACCAUAGUACAAAACAUUAUUAUCCUUCAUACCACAGUACUACACACCAUCAUCCUGCAUACCACAGUACUACACACUAUCAUCCUGCAUUCCACAGAACUACACAUCAUCGUCCUAUAUACUACAAUCCUACACAUCAUCAUACAUUUUAGAACUACACAUCAUCUUCAUGCAUACCAUAGAACUUCACAUCAUUAUCCUGCAUACCAUAGUCCUAGACAUCGUCAUGCACACCAUAUUACUACACAUAAUCAUCCUGCAUACCAUAGAACUACACAUCAUCCUAAUGCAUACCUGAGUUCUACAAAUCACCAUCCUGCGCACCAUAGUAUUAUGCACCCAUAUAUUACUACACAUCGUCAUCCUUUAUACCAUAGUACUACACAUCAUUUCAUUAUUAUAGCCCUAUAUUUCACCACCAUGCAUACAAUGUACUACAAUACUUCAUUUCACCGACAUGCAUACUGUUGUAUGGCACUAUAUCGUCUUGCAGCUGAAAGUUACAUCAUCGUCCUGCACACUAGAAGUUGCUAUUGCUUCUGAAGUUUUGAGUUUGCUCUUUCUUUUGUAUUCUUCUACUGAAACUAUUCUAUAAGGAAUAUCCCUACAUCAAAGAAACAGUCAGGUCCCAGUUGUUCAAAAUUGUACCGGGUGAUUAAACUAGAUAGAGACUUAGAGAAAAAAAUUAAUACGUGAGUUAAGGAUUAUGAACUCUUCAAAAUCUUUACAGGUAUAUCAAACACCAUACUGGUGCCUCCCACCUAGACUAAUAUUUUGAAGUGGUUAGUUUAACAGUCGGUUUAAGUUCCGAACAACUGAGACCAGAGAUAGGAAGUAUAUUUUUAUUUCUAUCUGGCAUUUUGUACCUCCAAGGAAACAAGAUAUUUUAAAAAAGGUGAGAAAAAAGAAACCUGUUACUCAAUUAAAUGAUUCAUGUAAAAAGAAGCAAUGUCAAACAUUGUUGUAUCAACUGUAUACUAGUAUAAACUUGAUGACCUUUAAUCCGCAUUUUGUAUGUAUGGUUUGAAAAAAUGAAAAGAAUAUAAUUCGCUAUAAACAAAUGGUUACAUUGCAGACAUGUUUUAACAUAAAAGCAUUUCGCCAUGUUGUCAUCAAUAUGAGUACAUUAACGCAUGUAAUGUUCAUAAACAUAUACUUAUACCAUAUUUUAUGGACAGAUGUAACUUUGUUUAUCGGGUUUUGAUACAAACGAGUAUCACAAAGGCAUUAAUGCCCAACAGUAAAUCAUACAAGAAAGAGCUGAUAAAAAGGCCGACUCUAAAAUGUAUUUGCUUGAUUUAAUCGUUAAAAGGAUUUCCAUGCACUCAAACCAGAUCUCGGUGUCAUGCCAUUAAAUAACAUGCAAGACAGAUAUAUAUUUAGGUAAAUCUACAUGACAAGCAGAAAAAGUUGAUUACAGUAUUUCACGCAAAAGUUUCUUUGAAAGCAAAAAGCUUUUUGACACUUAGUUCCUCGGUAUCAUAAUCAUGUCAUCUGAAUACGGCAAUAACUACAAAAA